rnacentral:rRNA from 1 species
CCUACGGGUGGCUGCAGUGAGGAAUAUUGGUCAAUGGGCGUAAGCCUGAACCAGCCAUCCCGCGUGAAGGAAGAAGGCGCUAUGCGUCGUAAACUUCUUUUCCAGAGGAAUAAAAUUUCGUACGUGUACGGAACUGUAGGUACUUUGGGAAUAAGCAUCGGCUAACUCCGUGCCAGCAGCCGCGGUAAUACGGAGGAUGCGAGCGUUAGCCGGUUUUAUUGGGUUGAAGGGGGAGUAAGGAGGCAUAAUAGAAAACCUUCAGCUUAACUGGAGAACUGCCAUUGAUACUGUUAGUCUUGAGUACGGUCAAGGUAGGCGGAAUGUGUAAUGUAGCGGUGAAAUGCUUAGAUAUUACACAGAACACCGAUUGCUAAGGCAGCUUACUGGGCCAUUACUGACGCUGAUGCACGAAAGCGUGGGGAGCGAACAGGAUUAGAUACCCUGGUAGUC